rnacentral:rRNA from 1 species
CCUACGGGAGGCAGCAGUGGGGAAUUUUGGACAAUGGGCGCAAGCCUGAUCCAGCCAUGCCGCGUGCGGGAAGAAGGCCUUCGGGUUGUAAACCGCUUUUGUCAGGGAAGAAAUCCUUUGAGCUAAUACCUCGGGGGGAUGACGGUACCUGAAGAAUAAGCACCGGCUAACUACGUGCCAGCAGCCGCGGUAAUACGUAGGGUGCGAGCGUUAAUCGGAAUUACUGGGCGUAAAGCGUGCGCAGGCGGUCUUGCAAGACAGGUGUGAAAUCCCCGGGCUUAACCUGGGAACUGCACUUGUGACUGCAAGGCUGGAGUACGGCAGAGGGGGAUGGAAUUCCGCGUGUAGCAGUGAGAUGCGUAGAUAUGCGGAGGAACACCGAUGGCGAAGGCAAUCCCCUGGGCCUGUACUGACGCUCAUGCACGAAAGCGUGGGGAGCAAACAGGAUUAGAUACCCUGGUAGUCCACGCCCUAAACGAUGUCAACUGGUUGUUGGACGGCUUGCUGUUCAGUAACGAAGCUAACGCGUGAAGUUGACCGCCUGGGGAGUUACGGCCGCAAGGUUGAAAACUCAAAAAUGAAAUUGACCGGNNGAGAGAGCGAGACGACGACGAGGGAGGAGG